GAUGAACGCUGGCGGCGUGCCUAAUACAUGCAAGUCGAGCGAACGGACGAGAAGCUUGCUUCUCUGAUGUUAGCGGCGGACGGGUGAGUAACACGUGGAUAACCUACCUAUAAGACUGGGAUAACUUCGGGAAACCGGAGCUAAUACCGGAUAAUAUUUUGAACCGCAUGGUUCAAAAGUGAAAGACGGUCUUGCUGUCACUUAUAGAUGGAUCCGCGCUGCAUUAGCUAGUUGGUAAGGUAACGGCUUACCAAGGCAACGAUGCAUAGCCGACCUGAGAGGGUGAUCGGCCACACUGGAACUGAGACACGGUCCAGACCCCUACGGGAGGCAGCAGUAGGGAAUCUUCCGCAAUGGGCGAAAGCCUGACGGAGCAACGCCGCGUGAGUGAUGAAGGUCUUCGGAUCGUAAAACUCUGUUAUUAGGGAAGAACAUAUGUGUAAGUAACUGUGCACAUCUUGACGGUACCUAAUCAGAAAGCCACGGCUAACUACGUGCCAGCAGCCGCGGUAAUACGUAGGUGGCAAGCGUUAUCCGGAAUUAUUGGGCGUAAAGCGCGCGUAGGCGGUUUUUUAAGUCUGAUGUGAAAGCCCACGGCUCAACCGUGGAGGGUCAUUGGAAACUGGAAAACUUGAGUGCAGAAGAGGAAAGUGGAAUUCCAUGUGUAGCGGUGAAAUGCGCAGAGAUAUGGAGGAACACCAGUGGCGAAGGCGACUUUCUGGUCUGUAACUGACGCUGAUGUGCGAAAGCGUGGGGAUCAAACAGGAUUAGAUACCCUGGUAGUCCACGCCGUAAACGAUGAGUGCUAAGUGUUAGGGGGUUUCCGCCCCUUAGUGCUGCAGCUAACGCAUUAAGCACUCCGCCUGGGGAGUACGACCGCAAGGUUGAAACUCAAAGGAAUUGACGGGGACCCGCACAAGCGGUGGAGCGUGUGGUUUAAUUCGAAGCAACGCGAAGAACCUUACCAAAUCUUGACAUCCUUUGACAACUCUAGAGAUAGAGCCUUCCCCUUCGGGGGACAAAGUGACAGGUGGUGCAUGGUUGUCGUCAGCUCGUGUCGUGAGAUGUUGGGUUAAGUCCCGCAACGAGCGCAACCCUUAAGCUUAGUUGCCAUCAUUAAGUUGGGCACUCUAAGUUGACUGCCGGUGACAAACCGGAGGAAGGUGGGGAUGACGUCAAAUCAUCAUGCCCCUUAUGAUUUGGGCUACACACGUGCUACAAUGGACAAUACAAAGGGCAGCGAAACCGCGAGGUCAAGCAAAUCCCAUAAAGUUGUUCUCAGUUCGGAUUGUAGUCUGCAACUCGACUACAUGAAGCUGGAAUCGCUAGUAAUCGUAGAUCAGCAUGCUACGGUGAAUACGUUCCCGGGUCU
rnacentral:rRNA from 1 species